GGUCCGAUGCCACGUCGGCGGUAGCAAAAAAAAAAAAUAGCAGUGACCGGCGAUGCUAUGAUCGGACCAACAUCAAGUUUUUUUUGACGCUUCGCAUUUUGAUAGGAAUCUGUGGAUGAAUAUUUGGUUUUUCCACGGAGCCGUUUUGUGCGAUUACAUUA
rnacentral:snoRNA from 1 species